GAUGAACGCUGGCGGCGUGCCUAAUACAUGCAAGUCGAGCGAACGGACGAGAAGCUUGCUUCUCUGAUGUUAGCGGCGGACGGGUGAGUAACACGUGGAUAACCUACCUAUAAGACUGGGAUAACUUCGGGAAACCGGAUCUAAUACCGGAUGAUAUUUUGAACCGCAUGGUUCAAAAGUGAAAGACGGUCUUUCUGUCACUUAUAGAUUGAUCCGCGCUGCAUUAGCUAGUUGGUAAGGUAACGGCUUACCAAGGCAACGAUGCAUAGCCGACCUGAGAGGGUGAUCCGCCACACUGGAACUGAGACACGGUCCCGACUCCUACGGGAGGCAGCAGUAGGGAAUCUUCCGCAAUGGGCGAAAGCCUGACGGAGCAACGCCGCGUGAGUGAUGAAGGUCUUCGGAUCGUAAAACUCUGUUAUUAGGGAAGAACAUAUGUGUAAGUAACUGUGCACAUCUUGACGGUACCUAAUCAGAAAGCCACGGCUAACUACGUG
rnacentral:rRNA from 1 species